rnacentral:rRNA from 1 species
AUUGAACACUGGCGGAAUGCUUUACACAUGCAAGUCGAACGGCAGCACGGGGGCAACCCUGGUGGCGAGUGGCGAACGGGUGAGUAAUACAUCGGAACGUGCCCAGUCGUGGGGGAUAACGUAGCGAAAGCUACGCUAAUACCGCAUACGAUCUACGGAUGAAAGCGGGGGAUCGCAAGACCUCGCGCGAUUGGAGCGGCCGAUGGCAGAUUAGGUAGUUGGUGAGGUAAAGGCUCACCAAGCCGACGAUCCGUAGCUGGUCUGAGAGGACGAACAGCCACACGGGGACUGAGACACGGCCAAGAGUCCUACGGGAGGCAGCAGUGGGGAAUUUUGGACAAUGGGCGCAAGCCUGAUCCAGCCAUUCCGCGUGCAGGAUGAAGGCCCGCGGGUUGUAAACUGCUUUUGUACGGAACGAAACGGCUCUCUCUAAUACAGGGGGCUAAUGACGGUACCGUAAGAAUAAGCACCGGCUAACUACGUGCCAGCAGCCGCCGUAAAAC